CCUUUGGGUCAGUGGGCAUGACUCCUUUCCGUACACAUUCCUUUGUUUAAAUUGCGAUCGGUUUUAAUAUAAUACGACGUCUAUCGACAGAACGAGUUAAUUUUUCUCGACGUAUCGUCGUUUGACGAAAGUUACUUACGGAAGGGAGACAACUCGAAGCGUUAAUAUGGAAGACUCCAUUUUGGCUGAAGGGGUGUUCUAGUUACACAUUUACGUUGUGGACUACAUUUAUUUUAAUUUAAAU
rnacentral:lncRNA from 1 species